rnacentral:rRNA from 1 species
GUCCACGCCCUAAACGAUGAAUACUAGUUGUCGGGAUACCUAAUUGUCUCGGUGACGCAGCUAACGCAUUAAGUAUUCCGCCUGGGGAUUACGGUCGCAAGAUUAAAACUCAAAGGAAUUGACGGGGGCCCGCACAAGCGGUGGAGCAUGUGGUUUAAUUCGAUGCUACGCGAAAAACCUUACCUAGGCUUGACAUCCCCGCGCUAACCCGUGAAAGCGGGCGUUCCCCUUCGGGGACGCGGAGACAGGUGCUGCAUGGCUGUCGU